rnacentral:piRNA from 1 species
UGAAAUAUAGUGAAUAUUCAGAAGUU